rnacentral:rRNA from 1 species
CCUACGGGAGGCAGCAGUGGGGAAUAUUGGACAAUGGGGGAAAGCCUGAUGCAGCGACGCCGCGUGAGUGAAGAAGGACUUCGGUACGUAAAGCUCUAUUAGCAGGGAAGAAAAUGACGGUACCUGAGUAAGAAGCCCCGGCUCACUACGUGCCAGCAGCCGCGGUAACAUGUAGGGGGCCAGCGUUAUCCGGAUUUACUGGGUGUAAAGGGAGCGUAGUGGGUUCGAGAAGUCUGGAGUGAAAUGCCGCAGCCUAACGGCGGAACUGCUUUGGAAACUGGCGAACUAGAGUGCGGGAGGGGUAAGCGGAAUGCCUGGUGUAGCGGUGAAAUGCGUAGAUAUUAGGAGGAACACCGAUGGCGAAGGCGGCUUACUGGACCGUAACUGACGUUGAGGCUCGAAAGCGUGGGGAGCAAACAGGAUUAGAUACCCCAGUAGUC